AUUGAACGCUGGCGGCAGGCUUAACACAUGCAAGUCGAGCGGAGAUGAGGUGCUUGCACCUUAUCUUAGCGGCGGACGGGUGAGUAAUGCUUAGGAAUCUGCCUAUUAGUGGGGGACAACAUUCCGAAAGGAAUGCUAAUACCGCAUACGCCCUACGGGGGAAGGCAGGGGAUCUUCGGACCUUGCGCUAAUAGAUGAGCCUAAGUCGGAUUAGCUAGUUGGUGGGGUAAAGGCCUACCAAGGCGACGAUCUGUAGCGGGUCUGAGAGGAUGAUCCGCCACACUGGGACGGAGACACGGCCCAGACUCCUACGGGAGGCAGCAGUGGGGAAUAUUGGACAAUGGGCGGAAGCCUGAUCCAGCCAUGCCGCGUGUGUGAAGAAGGCCUUUUGGUUGUAAAGCACUUUAAGCGAGGAGGAGGCUACCUGGAUUAAUACUCUAGGAUAGUGGACGUUACUCGCAGAAUAAGCACCGGCUAACUCUGUGCCAGCCGCCGCUGUAACAC
rnacentral:rRNA from 1 species